UCUCAGAAAACUAACGACUGACUUAACUGAUUGUUCAAAUCCUUGAAUUUAUCCUACUCGCUGUCGUUUUUGUUACUUUCCCUUAGUUCUACACAAUCAUUAGCCAUUGGAUCGGUUCGUGAUUCUAGGGAUUACUAAACGUUGUGAAGAAAAAAACCCAUCGUAUAGUUCAUGAAUCCGAAGUGGUUCAAAAGGAUGUCGCAGUAUAGAGCUUAGUGUAAAAAGAUUCAGAGCGGCCGCUUGCAGCUCAGCAAAAGUGAAAGCCACUUGGCGGUUAAAUUCGGAGUGUGUCCGCUGAUAGCGCUCGGGGAUAGAAAAGUCUCAAAGGUCAGAGUCGCUUCCGACUUCGUUACUGAUAAGGCCAGCUUCGCUACUAGUUCCGUCAACAUUAAACACAUAUCGUACUCGGAAAGGAUUUUCUCUUUCGAACAAUGGAAGUGUAUACACGCACAUAUUCACUCGGGCCAACCAUGGUACUCAUUUAUAAAAAGGACUCCGUCUGUUUUAUGGCAGCGAAGUGAGCAGACAAAAAAGGCAUCGUUUUUUUCCACAGGGUCGUUCUGAGCAAAAUUUCAGCGAUUGCAAGGAAUAAACCACCGAUGAGACAGUACCCGUUCGGAUUCAGGACGUUUUCCCAUACAUUGUAGCUGUUGAAUUUUAAUACCCGGUCGAAGCGAUGCCGAUAACUGGGUCAAAAGGCGGAGGUUCUGGAAAUUUCUGCACUCGUUAGCGAUCUGAGUAUGACCAAGGAUAAGGAAUCAGAACCGGCGACUGACAGUCCAGGGAAAUAGAAUGCGGAAAAACCUUCUAGUCCACAGCUCCUGAAGAAAAACGAGCUGUAGCGAAUAUGGAG